GAACGGUUGGCUCAGUUGGUAAGAGCACUGGCACGGUACGCCAGAUGUCGUGGGUUCGAGCCCCACAUCGAUCA